UACAGAGGGCGCGAGCGUUAAUCGGAAUUACUGGGCGUAAAGCGCGCGUAGGCGGCUUUUCAAGUCGAUUGUGAAAUCCCCGGGCUUAACCUGGGAACUGCAGUCGAGACUGUCUAGCUAGAGUAUGGGAGAGGGAAGUGGAAUUUCAGGUGUAGCGGUGAAAUGCGUAGAUAUCUGAAGGAACAUCAGUGGCGAAAGCGACUUCCUGGACCAAUACUGACGCUCAUGUGCGAAAGCGUGGGGAGCUAACAGG
rnacentral:rRNA from 1 species